UGAAGUGAGAAAUCAGAGCGUUCGUAGUUCGUGGUUUUGAAAUUGUUUGUGUUUGUUUUGUUGAUUUUAUUUACCUUGAAGAAGGGUUUUCGAAUGGUGUCGCCCUAAGGCUCAAACAAGAGGUUUGAAUGCGUUGAGUUGUUUUUAUGUUUUGAAGAAAGUGUUAUUGAUUUUGGAUUGCACUAAAGACUAUGGAUAAAGGUGAAUACCUCAAACGGUCAAGCCGAGCGUCUUGUGUUCAAAGCAUUCAGAAUGAGUGUAGGAAAGCUCUAGUCUCAUCCCUCCUUUAUCGCUUAAGGCUCGUGACGUACGAUCCUAAUCGCCAUUUAUUAUGUUUUUGAAUUUGACUUGGAAAAGACCGCUUGACGUUGGAUCAAGGGUUUGUUUAUUGUUUUUGAUUUAAGAAAAGAACCACUUGACGUUGGAUCAAGGGUUUGAUUAUUGAUUGCGAAAUGGUGAACGUUCCUAAUGCCUAAGGAGUAGCUAACAAGGAAUAAAAGAAAGCAAGUAAAUGCGUACAUCAGAAAGGGGAGGGGGGUACAUGUAAAGUACAAGGGAGUGCAGGAAAUAAAAGGUCUCAUUGUCAGGUAGCCCAAGAGAAAGCCAUGUGUGUGCAAUUGUGUACUAAACUAGAAAGCAUGCAAAAGAUUACAAUUGAUAUUACAAAUUCCUCUUGAUUCUUGCACGCUUCUUCCAUGUUAGGUCACAUUUGUCCAAAGUCUCUUUUGCAAAGGGUCCUAAUGAGUCUCUAAGUCCAUUGUCCAAAGUUCUCUCCAUGCUUGGGAAAUUGUUAUCUUUUUUUUCAUUUUUUAAAGUCUUGACCAUUUUUUAGAUUCAUUUUAGGAUGAAGUGAAUAUGAUGGAAUAUGGAUGUACAAUGUGAUAAAAGCAAAAUAAAAAAGUAAGAGUGCAUAAAGUAAAUGACCGAAAUUAAAAGUUAGGAGCGGAAAUUAAAAGCGGAAAAUUAAAGGAGUUAGAAGCGGAAUUGUAAAGAAUUAGAUGUUAGAAAACGGAAAUUAAAUGUUAGAGUUAAUUGUUAGAAGGUUAAUCAAAGUUAAUAUAAUGUUCAAUAUUAAUAUCAAAAUCUAAAUCAAAUUCUAAUAUCAACACAAACCACACUAUUAUCACAAACUCAAAGUCAAUUAAAAUUCUAAAAUUCAAAACAAUUAUCAAAAAUAAAAUCAAAUAAAACUCUAACCAAUUAGCACAUUAUAAAUCUAAGACAAUUAUCAAAUUAACUCUAAAAAAUUAUUAAACCAAUUCUAAGACAAUUAACAAUUAAUUCUAAAAAAUUAUUAACAAUCCUAAUUAACAAAAUACUGCCUAAGCAUCAAGAUUAAUAUCCAAUUAAGGAAGCUAAAUCCAAAUUAAAAUAGCACAGGCCUCUUUAAACAGAAUUGGCUGGGCUUUGCGCCAGGAAGCCCAACAGCCUCAGAUCCAAGGCCUGGGGGUGUGCUCGCUACAGGGAGGUGCAAGGCCAUUCCCGUUUGGGCCUGAUCCAAACCUCUACAAGGUAGCUACUGAAAGCAAACACAAAUGAAAGAAACGGAAAAGCGCUUCCGGCCAAACGCGCUUAUUCACAAGCGGAAAAACGCUCAAGUCUCACAUGGAGACUCUGCAAGAGCUUCGCAAACGACUACGCAACAAUGACAACUAACAUUACCGACAAUCCAAUACUACAUCAUCAUGGCAAAUGAGUCAAAGUGUAAUCAUAAGGAUCAAGAACUACCUGUCGAAGACGACAACGGCGGUGGCGACGAUGAUGAAAAACACGAGCACAACUUCUGAUCGCCUCCCUUCCUCCUCUCGUAAUGUUGAAAUGGAUUGGAAGCGUGUGAGCGAUAACGAUCUUCAAGCUUUGAAGCUUCCGGCGGUGGCGGUGGCUUAGCUCUGCUGUGUAGAGCUUCGAGUGAUGAAGCUCUCACAAUAAUGGAAAAUGAGCGUGUAGUGAAGGUGGGAGGGAAGCGAUUGCACGAUGCUUUUCGAAUGAGGGGAAAAAGUCUGAACCCAAUGAUUGGCAAUGAUUGCCACUUAUAUAGCACGAUCCAAGGGCAAAUUGGAGAAUUAAGUCUGAAAUGGUUCAAUCUGCACCAUCCAGCUGGCAUUAAGUGAAGGUGAGUCUUAAAUCAUGAAUUAAGUCACGUGGGAUUUUACACAAGUUUAACUCUCUAAUCCAUUAGCUUCAAAUUCUUUGAUCCAACUGUGGAUAUCUGCAUUGAACCAAACUGGUUUGGAUUGUUGCUUGAAUAAUCAUCAGUUUGAAUUUUGCAGGACAUGGUUGCUGAAUUGGUGUUGCUCACUCCCUCCUCUUUGAGCUACCUCAAUGCAUUGUAAACUUCGAGUGAGCUAGUCAUGGGGCUAUGCUUUAGUGAGUUCUUGAUAAACCAACUGUAUAAUCAUAACAUUUUUGGAUGCACUAACUUCCGGCCUGGUUUCUUGUAGCAUGGCAUUGCAGCAGCAUUUAGUUAGGUUACUCUGACUUGUGUUUCAAUAGAGCUUGGCAGCAUGAUACAUUGAUUCAUGAAAUAGUCUCAGUUCAAAUCCCAUACAACUUUGAUUGGUGGCUUAAAGAUACAACUGGUGUGACACACACAUGCUUUGAGUUGGUAUUCCUCAUAGUUUCACAGGUUCAUGGCAAAGUUAUCUCGCAACCUGGUUACGUGGCGCAUUCAGCAGGUUUAUAUUGCCUUGCUGCUACAGGUUUUGAAGCAUGAUGUCAUUGCUCAGUUGCCUUAACAUGUUGUAGAUGGUAAGAUAGACUAGCUUGGUCGUGCUUUCAUUGUUGUGCCAUUGUUGGUGUAUUGAAAUAUGAUGCAACACCCUUGUCCCUUUUGCUGUUGACAUAUAUGGUUCUGCAAGUCCUGUUGUAGGAUGUUUUUUGCAACCUUCAUGUGUUGGUGUAAAUUGGCCAUUGGUUUCCUAUUUGCUAGCAGGACUCAUCAGCUUUGCAAGUGGGAUCACUUAUGUCCUGAACUGAACCAUAACCUCACUGCGCAUUGGCUGUGUUGUACUCAGUCGGCAAUUGACUUGGUUGCUUUUUUAGGUCCAUAAUCAAUGCACACAGCAUAUGACAGCAUGGAUUUAUGAUUUGAUUGGUGUUCACGCCUUGGCUUGUAGGCUGGCUAAUGUAGCAGGUGGAUCACUGGCUUAUGGAAUGGUUUUGACAGUUUUGCUUGAACUAAUGUGAAUACGGUUGGUUAUUAUACAAGGCUGUUUUUAUAGGCUAUGUUGUGUUGGUCUACUACAGGUUAAUCAUGGUCAGUCUGUAGCAUGACUACAACUUUAUGUUCAUGGCCAAUACAGAUAGCAUUUGCUGCCAGUUUAUAAGGUUUCAUGAUGUUCAGCUUGGUAUCACUGUUGGAUUCACCUGUUCUGCACAACAGGUUAUAUCCAUGCCUUAGAUUUUGCAGCAUUUGACAGGCUGCAGUAUGGUCUGUGGCUUGAACUUUUGUUGCAGGACAACUGGGUUAAUGGCACUGGUUUGGUUCCUCAUGGCAAGCAAAGCGCAUAGUUUCAGGGUCAUGUAAUUGACACAAUGCUGGCUUGGAUUCUACAGCAUUGAGUUGCUAGGCUUGUGAAAUAUCAUGACUAGAUUUACAUGUCAAUAAAUUGUACUGUUGUCUUUUACAGGGCGCUUUGUCCAUUGCAGCACAUGGCUUGGCUAAUGAUCACAUAGGUUAGAAUGAAUUGCAGCAGAGUGUUGCAAAAUUCUACCAUUUCCAUAACAGGUACGGUGACAACUUGAUCAGCAAAGCGGCAAAGCACCCCAAACCUUUACAUUGCUUGACAACUGUGAUGCGAAGCCCUGUAUGAAGCUGCUGAAUGGCUUUAGUCUCCUUUGUAGACCAUGAAUGCAUAUGGUAAUGGUGAUUAGUUGAACAAAGCAGCACAACGGCCAAAACUGAGUUUUAUGACCACUCACAACACAUGGCAAACCCAAAAACAACAUUCAAUGAUUAAAGAUUGAGAAUGGAAUCAGAAUUGGGAUUGGGGAUAUAGGGUUUUAGGAAUUUGGGGAAUUGGGUUGACUUUGGUUAAAGUUGACCAAAAAGUCAACUGUUGACCAAAAAGUCAACUGUUGGUCAACACCUCUUUCUUUGUAUAUUUUCCAUGUAAUGAACCUUUUAUGAUCAUGUAAUGAAUGACAUUUCUUCAUUUGAAUGAACUUGGAUUGGUAUUUGAA